rnacentral:lncRNA from 1 species
GCUUGCUCUACUUACACCGUCCCCUGCUGGCUGGCUGGGUUGCUCUAAGUGGGAUCACCCCAUGCCCCAAGGUUCCCAGAGAAAGAGGUAACCCUGCCACCACAGCCAGCCCUGUCGGGCCUCUAAGAGGCAUCGGAGCAGCUUCCACAUACUCGCGCUGUCCCGGCACUUCUGG